GAUGAACGCUGGCGGCGUGCCUAAUACAUGCAAGUCGAGCGAACGGACGAGACUCUUGCGUCUCUGAUGUUAGCGGCGGACGGGUGAGUAACACGUGGAUAACCUACCUAUAAGACUGGGAUAUCUUCGGGAAACCGGCUCUAAUACCGGAUAAUAUUUUGAACCGCAUGGUUCAAAAGUGAAAGACGGUCUUGCUGUCACUUAUCGAGGCAUCCGCGCUGCAUGGGCUAGUUGGUAAGGUAACGGCUUACCAAGGCAACGUUGCAUGGCCGACCUGAGAGGGUGGUCGGCCACACUGGAACUGAGACACGGUCCAGACUCCUACGGGAGGCAGCAGUAGGGAAUCUUCCGCAAUGGGCGAAAGACUGACGGAGCAACGCCGCGUGAGUGAUGAAGGUCUUCGGAUCGUAAAACUCUGUUAUUAGGGAGGAACAUAUGUGUAAGUAACUGUGCACAUCUUGACGGUAACUAAUCAGAAAGCCACGGCUAACUUCGUG
rnacentral:rRNA from 1 species